rnacentral:tRNA from 1 species
GCUUAAAUAAUUUAAAAAAAAUUUUAGUCUUGUAAACUAUAAUUACAUAGUUAAUAUGUUUUAAGUA